AUGACACUCACAGAGAUCAAGGCAGAGACACUUGCAGACCCAAUGCUUCAAGAGGUUGGUGCUCACAUCAGACACAACACAUGGCAUAAAACUGACAAGUCACAACAUGCUGACAUACUAAAGCAGUUUAGACAAGUUAGCAGUGAACUAACAACAUCACAUGCAUCUGACAUUAUACUGCGGGGCACUAGAAUAGUGAUUCCCAAAGCCCUACAAGACAGAGUGUUACAACUAGCCCAUGAGGGACACCAGGGCAUUGUCAAAACAAAAGCACCACUCCGAACCAAGGUGUGGUUUCCAGACAUCGAUCGCAAAGCAGAAGUCGCAGUACGCAGUUGUCUCGCAUGUCACGCCAACACACCAGUCACACACAAGGAGCCGCUAAAAAUGUCAAUUCUGCCAGAAGUUCCUUGGCAUAGUGUAAGUACAGACUUCUAUGCACCGCUUCCGACUGGAGAGUACUUGCUUGUCAUUGUGGAUGAGUAUACACGCUACCCAGUUGUAGAGAGCGUGCGGUCGACAUCGGCAAACACAGUCAUUCCGGUCAUGGACAAAGUCUUCUCCAUGUUUGGAAUCCCCAGAGUUGUAAAAACUGACAAUGGUCCCCCAUUCACCAGUGACCAGUUCUCCCAGUUUGCAGAUCAUCUAGGAUUCCAUCACCGCCGGAUAACACCGCUGUGGCCUCAAGCUAAUGCAAUAGCUGAACGGUUCAUGCGGACACUUGGCAAAGCUGUUCGUGUGGCUGAAACACAGGGACUUCCUUGGAAACAACAGCUGAACAUCUUUCUACUGAUGCCUCCACGAGCACAACAACGCCAAGAUAUCCCUCAAGGCACAACAGAUGUCCUCCAGCCUACCUACAGGAUUAUACUUAGUUUAGGGACUGUAAGCAGAAGAAAUGUUCUGAUUUGAAAGGGACUGUAUUAGCCAAGGUUAAGAAGUUUGGUGAUUUCCCCUUUUAGCAGUCUAAAAUAGAAUUGUAUUUCUAUUUCUAGAAAUAGAAAUACGCUAUAAAUAUGAGUACAACGUUCAGUACAGCAGGUACGAUUGCUGAAGUUUGUUUGAUUUUAUGUAAUAGCAAGCCCAGUUUUCAGAAUGUUAAGAUGACAGGUUUGUAUUUGUUCAAUUAAAAAAAAAAAAUGGCAAUGUGAUGUUCAUGACAUAACCACGUCACCUGCAGAUAUAGACGCGCAAGACACGUGAGCAGAAAGUACGCAAACGGUAACGUGUAAGCCAGAGCCGGAGAAUAAACGCCC
ensembl:lncRNA